rnacentral:rRNA from 1 species
CUACGGGAGGCACCAGUGGGGGAUAUUGCGCAAUGGGGGAAACCCUGACGCAGCAAUGCCGCGUGAAGGAAGAAGGUUUUCGGAUCGUAAACUUUUGUCUUCAGGGACGAAACAAAUGACGGUACCUGAGGAGGAAGCCACGGCUAACUACGUGCCAGCAGCCGCGGUAAUACGUAGGUGGCAAGCGUUGUCCGGAUUUACUGGGUGUAAAGGGCGUGUAGGCGGGAUUGCAGGUCAGAUGUGAAAUACUCGGGCUUAACCCGAGGGCUGCAUUUGAAACCACAGUUCUUGAGUGCUGGAGAGGGAAGCGGAAUUCCUAGUGUAGCGGUGAAAUGCGUAGAUAUUAGGAGGAACACCAGUGGCGAAGGCGGCUUUCUGGACAGUAACUGACGCUGAGGCGCGAAAGCAUGGGGAGCAAACAGGAUUAGAUACCCUCGUAGUC